UACGAAGGGGGGCUAGCGUUGCUCGGAAUCACUGGGCGUAAAGGGUGCGUAGGCGGGUCUUUUAAGUCAGGGGGUGAAAUCCUGGAGCUCAACUCCAGAACUGCCUUUGAUACUGAAGAUCUUGAGUUCGGGGAGAGGUGAGUGGAACUGCGAGUGUAGAGGUGAAAUUCGUAGAUAUUCGCAAGAACACCAGUGGCGAAGGCGGCUCACUGGCCCGAUACUGACGCUGAUGCACGAAAGCGUGGGGGAGCAAACAGG
rnacentral:rRNA from 1 species